UACGGAGGGUGCAAGCGGUAUCCGGAAUCACUGGGUUUAAAGGGUGCGUAGGCGGUCAAGUGAGUCAGAGGCGAAAUGCCGUCGCUUAACGUCGGAAUUGGCUUUGAUACUGCUAGACUUGAAUAAGGAUGAGGUGGGCGGAAUGUGGCAUGUAGCGGUGAAAUGCAUAGAUAUGGCAUAGAACACCAAUUGCGAAGGCAGCUCACUGGACCUUGAUUGACGCUCAGGCACGAAAGCGUGUGGAUCAAACAGU
rnacentral:rRNA from 1 species